GGUCUAAUACCGAAUAGGACCGCGCGCUUCAUGGUGUGUGGUGGAAAGCUUUUGCGGUGUGGGAUGGGCCCGCGGCCUAUCAGCUUGUUGGUGGGGUAAUGGCCUACCAAGGCGACGACGGGUAGCCGGCCUGAGAGGGUGACCGGCCACACUGGGACUGAGAUACGGCCCAGACUCCUACGGGAGGCAGCAGUGGGGAAUAUUGCACAAUGGGCGCAAGCCUGAUGCAGCGACGCCGCGUGAGGGAUGACGGCCUUCGGGUUGUAAACCUCUUUCACCAGGGACGAAGCGCAAGUGACGGUACCUGGAGAAGAAGCACCGGCCAACUACGUGCCAGCAGCCGCGGUAAUACGUAGGGUGCGAGCGUUGUCCGGAAUUACUGGGCGUAAAGAGCUCGUAGGUGGUUUGUCGCGUUGUUCGUGAAAACUCACAGCUUAACUGUGGGCGUGCGGGCGAUACGGGCAGACUAGAGUACUGCAGGGGAGACUGGAAUUCCUGGUGUAGCGGUGGAAUGCGCAGAUAUCAGGAGGAACACCGGUGGCGAAGGCGGGUCUCUGGGCAGUAACUGACGCUGAGGAGCGAAAGCGUGGGGAGCGAACAGGAUUAGAUACCCUGGU
rnacentral:rRNA from 1 species